UAUAGGGGAGCCGUAGCGAAAGCGAGUCUUAACUGGGCGCUCAGUCUCUGGAUAUAGACCCGAAACCGGGUGAUCUAGCCAUGGGCAGGUUGAAGGUUGAGUAACAUCAACUGGAGGACCGAACCGACUAAUGUUGAAAAAUUAGCGGAUGACUUGUGGCUAGGGGUGAAAGGCCAAUCAAACUCGGAGAUAGCUGGUUCUCCCCGAAAGCUAUUUAGGUAGCGCCUCGGACGAAUACUACUGGGGGUAGAGCACUGUUAAGGCUAGGGGGUCAUCCCGACUUACCAACCCUUUGCAAACUCCGAAUACCAGUAAGUACUAUCCGGGAGACACACGGCGGGUGCUAACGUCCGUCGUGGAGAGGGAAACAACCCAGACCGCCAGCUAAGGUCCCAAAGUAUUGCUAAGUGGGAAACGAUGUGGGAAGGCUCAGACAGCUAGGAUGUUGGCUUAGAAGCAGCCAUCAUUUAAAGAAAGCGUAAUAGCUCACUAGUCGAGUCGGCCUGCGCGGAAGAUGUAACGGGGCUAAGCAAUACACCGAA
rnacentral:rRNA from 1 species